AUUUUCCUUUAUAUCAAUAACAUCAAAGCAUUGUUUCCAAAUUUCUAGAUACAAAAGGUGUCGGUUACUAACAGCACUCACAACCACAAAUUUGCAUCAGUAUAUCUUCUACUUUUCCCUUGUUUUAACUAUUAAACAAAGCCAAACAGAAAUGCAAACAGCACUGUUAUUCACAAUUCUAUGCAAGACAGUUGCUGUUAGAUGUAUAGACAACGUAAAA